AACGCUGGCGGCAGGCCUAACACAUGCAAGUCGAACGGUAGCACAGAGAGCUUGCUCUCGGGUGACGAGUGGCGGACGGGUGAGUAAUGUCUGGGAAACUGCCUGAUGGAGGGGGAUAACUACUGGAAACGGUAGCUAAUACCGCAUAACGUCGCAAGACCAAAGAGGGGGACCUUCGGGCCUCUUGCCAUCAGAUGUGCCCAGAUGGGAUUAGCUAGUAGGUGGGGUAACGGCUCACCUAGGCGACGAUCCCUAGCUGGUCUGAGAGGAUGACCAGCCACACUGGAACUGAGACACGGUCCAGACUCCUACGGGAGGCAGCAGUGGGGAAUAUUGCACAAUGGGCGCAAGCCUGAUGCAGCCAUGCCGCGUGUAUGAAGAAGGCCUUCGGGUUGUAAAGUACUUUCAGCGGGGAGGAAGGCGAUAAGGUUAAUAACCUUGUCGAUUGACGUUACCCGCAGAAGAAGCACCGGCUAACUCCGUGCCAGCAGCCGCGGUAAUACGGAGGGUGCAAGCGUUAAUCGGAAUUACUGGGCGUAAAGCGCACGCAGGCGGUCUGUCAAGUCGGAUGUGAAAUCCCCGGGCUCAACCUGGGAACUGCAUUCGAAACUGGCAGGCUGGAGUCUUGUAGAGGGGGGUAGAAUUCCAGGUGUAGCGGUGAAAUGCGUAGAGAUCUGGAGGAAUACCGGUGGCGAAGGCGGCCCC
rnacentral:rRNA from 1 species